rnacentral:rRNA from 1 species
GACGAACGCUGGCGGCGUGCUUAAUACAUGCAAGUCGAACGGAAAGACCCUGCGCUUGUUCGUCUCUCGAUUGGCGAACGCGGGAGUAUCACGUGUGUAUCCUCCCCUUAACUUUGUGAGAUCUCCUCGAAACACGGGCUAUUAUCCGAUAGAAUCUCUUGCUGCAUGUUGUUGGAUGGUAAGAUUCGGCUGUUGUGGAUGUACUCGCAGCAUCUCCGCUUGUUGGUGUGGUAGUGGCUUACCAAGGCUUGGACGGGUAGCCUGCCUGAGAGGGUGACCGGCCACAUUGGGACUGAGAGACGGCACAGAAUCCUACGGGAGGCAACAGUGGGGAAUAUUGCAGAAUGGGCGGAAGGCUGAUGCAGAAGCGCCGCGUGCGGGAUAACGGCCUUAGGGGUGAAAACCGAUUUCGCAUGUAACGAAGCGUGAGUGACGGUAAUGAGUAAAAAAGCACCGGCUAACUACGUG